UAAAAUUGAUCACUUCUACAUAUUUUUCUCCUUUUCAUCUAACUAACCGUAAUUAACUGAAUAAAUUUCGUUAUGCAGAAUUGUUCUUUGAAUCGUUCUCCCAUCGAUUAUUUAAAAAAUGUACGCGUGACACGAUACGAAUUACUCUACGCUUAAUUCGGUUACGAGUGCUCCAAACUCUCGAAAGGUGAAAAAAUCGCUAAGAACGUUGGUGCUUCCAUCUUUUGAGGAGAUAACGUAACAAAAUGUACAAGUCGCUAACAGUGUUGAUAGUAGGCAAUAGCGGUAGUAGUCGAUAAUGCGAAUACUAUACAUCUGUUGGUAAUGUAAAACUUUCGAUAUACGAAACAAAAGGACACGUUUACGCAAUAAAAGACGAAUGUCUCAAUUAUGGAUCAACGAGCCAAAUCCAGUCAGUUCAACUGGUCUAAGCAGCAGCGUAUGUUGCGCGUAACGGAAUUUGUGUGGCGAGAACAGCGAUUCGUUUACUUAAAAUUUAAAGUGAUCACGGGAUACAGCGACGUGGCGUGUGCAUCGGCACGUAUACCGAAAUGUGUGCUAGUCUAUGUAACAGGGCUGAUUUGCAAGGAAGGAACAAAAUAAUAAAGCGCAAUUGUGCCAGCCCUCGAUUAUUUCAUUGCACGUUGACGUCAAGUUAUACAGCGACCAAUCAUCGAGCUCGCGCAUCGACGAGCCCCCAGUGAAGAUCGACGAACACGCGUACAAUUUCCUCACGAUUUUAAUGAUCAAGUCUCAUAGAAGCUCGAUAUUUGACCUUCCCUCUUUCAAUGACACGCUAGUUAGUCAAAUAAAAUUCAUUGUUUCAAGUAUCUUUUUAUAUUAUAUCGUUUGCUAAUCUGUUGACCGUUUCCGGAUCGAUCGGUAACUUUCUUUUUGAAAAUCGAAUUCGUGAAUCCAUAAGUGGGACUGCGGAUUCAUAUUUUCGAUGCAAAUUCAUAUUUUUAUAUAUACAAAUAAACAGCGGUAUCUAGAUAGAGAUUUAUAUUCUAUUCCUUAUAUAUUAUAAAUAUGCAAUAUAUUAUAUUUUUAUACGUAUGCGUAAAUGUAAAAUAAAAUUAACAACGGCUUAUAAUAUUUAUUUAUAAAACGAGAUGUAUAUCACUAGAAGCAUUCUUCGAACGUGCGUCUUAUUUAACGAUUUCACAAAGAAACUUUAUAUCAAAUUUACGUAUACUUUUACGAUAUUUUAUAUGUUUUCCUGUAUUAUGCAUAUUUUCUGUAUUUCUAUACAUUUCGACUUCCUAUAAAUGUAUAAGUAUACGUUAGUUUACCAAUAACUCGCAAAAUCGUUAACUCAUCUAAUGAAAACAAAUGUAAUCAAUUUGUUUUUCCAAUUAAGUUUUUAUCAUUGUCUAUAAGGAGAAAGUUGCAUUUAAAUAAUGAUGAAAAAAGACGAGAGUAAGCCGGAAUUUAGGCCAGUGACAAAACGAAACGAAGAUAGAGCUGCCAACUUUUACUCGAAUCUCAUCUUCUCGGUCGAGGUUCUCUACUACCUACGCGACUAUCCGACAUUCGACCCAUGACGUUGCAACGUGACGUUGUUCCCGCGCUUCUUGCGUGUUUCGUGCAACAUUCGAAUUAUUGCUGUUUCACGAUUUUGAAAUUUUCAAGCUUAUCGCUCAUUUCUCAGGAUUUUACAAUCUCGAAAGAUCAUACUAAUACUGUUGCGAUAAACAGCGGACUGAAAAUCACACCAAUAUAAGUCAUGAUUUUGAAAAUGUAGAUCUAGUCGCAUAUUUCAACUUUCAAAAGAGUCGUUCUCUUUGUUUCAUAAUUAAUUAAAUAUUAUAAUCAGAAUGCGAAUGUUUAUGCAUUUAUGGGAAAUUAAAAUAUACAAAAAUGUACAAAAUAAUAUAACAGAACCUUUAAAAUGCGUAAAUUCAAUAAGCAGUAGCUUAUUUAAUUGGGUACUGAAACUAAAACUUCAUUGAACCAACUUCAUAUAAACUUCAUAUAACCGCAGUUCGACAAAAAGGCUCUCCCGUAGUCUACGAAAUUAAAGUCUUCUAAUUUUCUAACCGGACAAUCUCCGUAGUAACAGUAACUUGCCAAUUUCUUGGUUCUUUUUUAACUUCUACGAAGAUUUUUUCCUCGAUACUAUCGACUAUACGAAUUGAAGUUGCCGCGACUGAAAUUGCAUCGUCAGUUAGCACACAUCUCAUCGUACGAGAUUGUACAAAGUCUCCUAGCGCUUCUCAUUACGUCACAAGUGUUAAAAUAACCUGCUCAUUGGUAGUAGACGAUCGAACAUUCGUCACGACCAUGGUAUCGCUCAAAUAAAACCACCAUCGAAACACGCGAGAACAGUGAAACCUGCAGACACUCGAUAGUAUGACCUUUUGAACUUGGCAUCGAUACUCCAAUCAUCGUGAUACGUAUACAUACUUACACAUGUGUAAAAGCAAUGCAUGAAUCGAAUAGUGCAAGAUUGGAAUAAGAAAAGUUCGAAGAUCUCCAAAAGGAUUAGGACAUAUUUAGAUUCUUUGUAUAACUACGUCAAAUCUUAGGGGAGAGUCGUAGUUGUUAAUUAAAGAUGCAAAAGGACAAAUGAAAAGAAGGAAGGAGAAGGUGGAGGAAUGAGAGUCGCUGAGGAUCGAGCCCCCUUGGUUGAACCAAUCGCGAGACGUCUCGAAACCAACGCCUACCAAUUCGACCAAUCGGAGAUUAAGACUUCCGAAGGCACGACCGCGCGUAUGUAUCCGCUUUCUCUGGUCGUAGAGGGUCACAAACAUCGUUGAUGAUUGACGGAGCAACGCGUGACCGAAUUAAUUUUACGAUCGUUCCUAUCAUUUCGAUUUAUAUUGGUACAACAUAAAUGCAUUCUAUCACGUGAUGUGUGCGCUUGCUUUGAUCAAUUAAUUCGUCUGCUGUCAUAAUUGAACACGUUGAAAAUGAGAAGCUGUGAAUCUUUCCCAUACGACAGUUCACAAUACUACAAUAUGAAAUCUAAUAAUACCAUUAGGUCGACCCUCUAACUUACUUUGAAAUCAAUUCUGGCAACUUCUCAAUUGUGACAUUGCCAUACCAUUGCCAUACCAACAUUACUUAAGAUAAUAUUCAUUGAAUCAUUAAGCGGAUAUUGUUUGGACGGUCUCGUUAAUUUCAUCGCAAAAAAAUUGUAAUUUGUAAAAAAAAAUAGCAUUCCGACACGUCCCUACGUUCAUCGAAAGAGUAUCGCUUUUCUUUUUUUUUCUUGUUUUUGUUUUUUAUUAUCUAUUCGAUAAGUUGCAAGACUGCCGAAACGUUCCAAUGUAAUCAUGUCAGUAAACAUUAGCGUAAAAUGCGAAAUACCAAAUUCAAGGCUAUUUUUCCUUCUUAUUUUCUGUGCAAAAGUUGUACAACAUAUACGAGUAUGUGCGUGUUAGCACCGAUUGGUCUAACAACUAUAAUCACGUGUAAAAUGUUCUUUGUCUGAAUACUUGCAUGUACGUAUAAAAAUUCAAUCUUCCGAACUACACUCAAACUUGCAAAAAUUUACGUUCUAUUAAAGAUAAGAAAAACACAUUAUGUAAGACGUUCUAAAAAAAAAAUUGAAUUUCCGUCCAAUAGGAAUCGAGUUAGCGGUGGCGAACGUCAGAACACGUGUUUUUGAAUGAUAUCGAGAAACAGUCGAAACGCGAUAGAUCGAUAAAAUUGUGUUUCUUUUGAACAGGAGGCGAACGUACCUUUGUCCAUACUAUCGGUGAGCCAGAUGGAAGAAAGAGGAAAAAUUAGCACGUAACAAAC